rnacentral:sRNA from 1 species
GGGGAUAAAAAAGGUCUCGUCGCGCAGC